rnacentral:rRNA from 1 species
AAGGAAGAACGGCGGCUACAGGAAAUGGUAGCCGAGUGACGGUACUUUAUUAGAAAGCCACGGCUAACUACGUGCCAGCAGCCGCGGUAAUACGUAGGUGGCAAGCGUUAUCCGGAAUUAUUGGGCGUAAAGAGGGAGCAGGCGGCAGCAAGGGUCUGUGGUGAAAGCCUGAAGCUUAACUUCAGUAAGCCAUAGAAACCAGGCAGCUAGAGUGCAGGAGAGGAUCGUGGAAUUCCAUGUGUAGCGGUGAAAUGCGUAGAUAUAUGGAGGAACACCAGUGGCGAAGGCGACGAUCUGGCCUGCAACUGACGCUCAGUCCCGAAAGCGUGGGGAGCAAAUAGGAUUAGAUACCCUAGUAGUCCACGCCGUAAACGAUGAGUACUAAGUGUUGGAUGUCAAAGUUCAGUGCUGCAGUUAACGCAAUAAGUACUCCGCCUGAGUAGUACGUUCGCAAGAAUGAAACUCAAAGGAAUUGACGGGGGCCCGCACAAGCGGUGGAGCAUGUGGUUUAAUUCGAAGCAACGCGAAGAACCUUACCAGGUCUUGACAUACUCAUAAAGGCUCCAGAGAUGGAGAGAUAGCUAUAUGAGAUACAGGUGGUGCAUGGUUGUCGUCAGCUCGUGUCGUGAGAUGUUGGGUUAAGUCCCGCAACGAGCGCAACCCUUAUCGUUAGUUACCAUCAUUAAGUUGGGGACUCUAGCGAGACUGCCAGUGACAAGCUGGAGGAAGGCGGGGAUGACGUCAAAUCAUCAUGCCCCUUAUGACCUGGGCUACACACGUGCUACAAUGGAUGGUGCAGAGGGAAGCGAAGCCGCGAGGUGAAGCAAAACCCAUAAAACCAUUCUCAGUUCGGAUUGUAGUCUGCAACUCGACUACAUGAAGUUGGAAUCGCUAGUAAUCGCGAAUCAGCAUGUCGCGGUGAAUACGUUCUCGGGCCUUGUACACACCGCCCGUCACACCACGAGAGUUGAUAACACCCGAAGCCGGUGGCCUAACCGCAAGGAAGGAGCUGUCUAAGG